UGCUUUUUACGACCUUAAGGGCCCGCUUACACUAAAACCAAAAAAUGUAAGAUUUCAAGCUCCAAAUUAACCAUCAUAGGAAAGACUU